rnacentral:lncRNA from 1 species
UCCUUCCUUACGGUUGCAAUGUUUGCCUUUCCAGACUUGUUUAUGGCCUGAAAGUGGGGGUUUCCAAGGGUGGGAAUGGCUAAAAGGAUAUUGUCUGUUUAAAAAAAACAUGGGAAAGUACACCUAACCUCUGAUAAGAAUACUAAAAAGUACAUAAUGGUGGAAAAGGGGGAAAAAUGGCUAAAUAGAAGGAGGAGCCCGGGGAGGAGUAAACCCAGGCUCCAAACUCUAUAAAAGCUGGAGAUUUCUUGCUAGAUUUCAGACUAGCCCGGGCUACUUCUCAUGCAUGGUGAAUUGUGAAUCGACAAUAAACCAUCAUUGGACCGUGAACCAGCUGACCCUGACUCAUUAUUCGACUUUGUCGUGGCAACUCUGCUUCAACCCAUUGGCACUGGCAUAGGCAUUCUGACUUAGGAAAAGUGUAAGUUUAUUAAGUAAUCUGACAGAGAGGAAAAGCCACAACAUUUUCAAAUGAGAAAGAAGCAUAAGGAAAAGGGCCUUCUUCUCAGCUGCCGUAUCACACUGUGGUGCAGGAGCAGAGAACGCUCUCCACUGCGCAUCGACGUCAACGGGCCCUGCCAGCAAGGCAGGAGGUGCAAUGGCUCCACGUAAGGUUGGUGAGGUGUAAGGCCAGGUACCCGACACUGGAGACCAUCUCACACACCUGUUCCUCCCACGUGCAGAGGAGCGUGGAUGACGUCUGUCACUCCUGAAAUCCACAACCACCUCUUGACAUUGAUGCAGAGGUUGUUGCCCUCAUACUCAUCCAGCAGGUGAUCCAUCUCAUCUCUAUUGAAGAUUCAUUGUUGUUGGUGAUGAAACCUUCUUGUAAGUCUGAGUGGGCAUACAUUUGACCCAGCCCCACUCCGAGUCUCAAGUUUACCAGUUUACCAGGGCAAAGAAAGGGAAGGACCCAUUCACACCAGUUUAGUACUUCUUAUUUAGUACUUCUUAUCUUUUGGAGGUCGCGGUGUUUUGUACUCAAAUUCCUCAGCAGGACAAAAGGCAAAUUUCAAGUCAAUUAAAUUCUCCAAUUACAACUUAGAUUUAGGAUUUCAGGGAAAGUGUAUCACAGAUGAAGCAUAUCAC